UUAUCGGUGGAUGGUAAUGGCAGAGCUCGAGUUGUGUUUUGGCCAGAACAGGAACCAUUCAUGGCAUUCAUGGUAGGCGGCAAGAAACCACGUAACAGAAUCCAUAAGCAUUGUCGUAAUAGAUCCAUCCAUCCGCUGUUACCGUCCUUGCCGAGGCGUUGGAGGAGGACCGUUAUUCUCAUUAAAGUUGAGACCCAGUUUGGACAGAACGUGUUUCUACGAGGCGGUAUAGAUCACAGUAAACGAUCAGGUUGCACCAAUCUUGCAAGUACGAGUCAGUGUGCUAUUCCAAUACGACAUCGAUCUAUGGGAACAUCGGCAGCCUAUGCGAGCUUUAACACGUGGUCUAAGGGCGACGAAUACGUAGACUGGUUCGGCAAAGAACCAAAACAAUUUGGAAGAGUUAACGGUAAAAAAGCCGAGGGUACUCCAUUAUUGUGGACUACAGACGAUGAGACAAGUGGUAGUUAUAGCUCUUUUAACACGUAUGGACCAAACUAUUGGUUACUUGAUGUCGAUAUGUUUUGCAGCAAAUCGUACAACGGUUGGUUUGAGUUUAAAGCUCUGAUUGACAACAAUUGGGAGAGUAACAUCCCAACCACACAGUGUUCCGGAACAUCCUCAUACCCAUCUUAUACCUCAUCCAAUCAUUUUGCCAGAUGUGGUUAUUUAAAUGUAUAUCAGUGGGAUCAAGGGGACUGCCUAAUUACGAAAUUGUAAAUUUGACAGCAUAAUGCAGACUAAUAAUCAUCCUAUAGGUCAUCUCGUUGUGAUGAAAAUAUCUCUAUGAAUUUGAACAUUUCAUUUCAUAGUGCAGUGAGGAAGUGACUACAUGUAUAUGAAUU